AGCAGCCGCGGUAAUUCCAGCUCCAAUAGCGUAUAUUAAAGUUGUUGCAGUUAAAAGCUCGUAGUUGAAUUUCGGGAUUGGCGCAUCGGUCGUGCCUCACGGGGUAUGAACUGGUGCAGUCAAUUUCUCACCUUCUGGAGAACCGCGAUGUCCUUAAUUGGAUGCCGCGGGGAACCAGGACCUUUACUUUGAAAAAAUUGAGUGUUUAAAGCAGGCAUUUUUGCUUGAAUACAUUAGCAUGGAAUAAUAAAAUAGGACGGCAUGGUUCUAUUUUGUUGGUUUCUAGGACCACCGUAAUGAUUAAUAGGGAUAGUUGGGGGCAUUAGUAUUCAAUUGUCAGAGGUGAAAUUCUUGGAUUUAUUGAAGUACUAACUACUGCGAAAGCAUUUGCCAAGGAUGUUUUCAUUAAUCAAGAACGAAAGUUAGGGGAUCGAAGACGAUCAGAUACCGUCGUAGUCUUAACCAUAAACUAUGACCGACUAGGAAUCAGACGAUUGUUUAAUUUUUAAUGUACUUCGUU
rnacentral:misc_RNA from 1 species